rnacentral:rRNA from 1 species
UAGAGAGAGACAUGCGCGCAUAUCAAUAAGCGGAGGAAAAGAAACUAACAAGGAUUCCCUUAGUAACGGCGAGUGAAGCGGGAAGAGCUCAAAUUUGAAAUCUUCAAGGUUUUACCUUGACGAAUUGUAGUUUAAAGAAGUGUUUUCUGCUGAAGUUUUGGUAAAAGUUCUUUGGAAUAGGACAUCAUAGAGGGUGAGAAUCCCGUAUUUGACCAUUAUUUUCAGCUUUGUGGAUAGCACUUUCAAAGAGUCGGAUUGUUUGGGAAUGCAGUCCAAAAUGGGUGGUAAAUUUCAUCUAAAGCUAAAUAUUGGCGAGAGACCGAUAGCGAACAAGUACCGUGAGGGAAAGAUGAAAAGAACUUUGAGAAGAGAGUUAAACAGUACGUGAAAUUGUCAAAAGGGAAGCGUUUGACACCAGUGUUGUUUUCUCGAAAAUCAAUUAAAAAUGGCUCGAUUUUGUAUUGCUGAGACCUUAAAAGCUCACUGUACAUUUUUCGUGUCUUUUUUAAUGCACUUUUCGUUUAACAAGUCAACAUCAGUUUCUUUUGUUGUAAAAGGGUCAUUGGAAGGUGGCUUUCUUUUCGGAGAAAGUGUUUAUAGCCUUUGGCCUCUGCAAUCGAAGAGACUGAGGUCUGCAGCGUAGACUCUUCGGGGUUAGAUACAUUUGUGCUAAGUUAUAGCUUUUUAUAGACAACUUGUUGACUAUAAUUAGUCUUGUAGCUUACUCGCUUAUGCUAUUUUACCUACGCUUAGGAUGUUGAAGAUGUAGCACAUCAU